UUCUAUCUCAACCCCUGGUGAAUUACCUUUUGUUGCUUCGCCGGAAGUUAUAGGUCUUCUUAUACCUGCUGCCGGUGGACCAUUAAACUCUUGUUAUUUUAUGUAAUCUGAUCGUCUUAUUUUAAUAAGUCAAAACUUUCAACAACGGAUCUCUUGGUUCUGGCAUCGAUGAAGAACGCACCGAAAUGAAAUAAGUAAUGUGAAUUGCAUAAUUCAGUGAAUCAACCAAUCUUUGAACGCACAUUGCUCCCAUCAGUAUUCUAUCGGGCAUGCCUGUUCGAGCGUCAUUUCAACCCUCACGCCUACCUUAGUGUUGGGAAUCUACUUCUUUAUAGUUGUAGUUCCUGAAAUACAACGGCGGAUUUGUAGUAUCCUCUGAGCGCAGUAAUUUUUUUCUCGCUUUUGUUAGGUGCUAUAACUCCCAGCCGCUAAACCCCCAAUUUUUUGUGGUUGACCUCGGAUCAGGUAGGAAUACCCGCUGACCUUAAGCUAAUCAAUAAGCGGAGGAAGGA
rnacentral:rRNA from 1 species